AUUGAACGCUGGCGGAAUGCUUUACACAUGCAAGUCGAACGGGAGUAGCAAUACUCUAGUGGCGAACGGGUGAGUAACACAUCGGAACGUACCCUGACGUGGGGGAUAACAUAUCGAAAGGUGUGCUAAUACCGCAUACGUCCUGAGGGAGAAAGCGGGGGAUCGUAAGACCUCGCGCGUUUGGAGCGGCCGAUGGCGGAUUAGCUAGUUGGUGGGGUAAAGGCCUACCAAGGCGACGAUCCGUAGCUGGUCGGAGAGGACGACCAGCCACACUGUGACUGAGACACGGCCCAGACUCCUACGGGAGGCAGCAGUGGGGAAUUUUGGACAAUGGGCGAAAGCCUGAUCCAGCCAUUCCGCGUGAGUGAAGAAGGCCUUCGGGUUGUAAAGCUCUUUCGGCAGGAACGAAACGGCUCUUUCUAAUACAAGGAGUCAAUGACGGUACCUGAAGAAGAAGCACCGGCUAACUACGUGCCAGCCGCCGCGGUAACAC
rnacentral:rRNA from 1 species